rnacentral:rRNA from 1 species
GACGGGGGAUGCAAGUGUUAUCCGGAAUCACUGGGCGUAAAGCGUCUGUAGGUGGUCAAAUAAGUCAACUGUUAAAUCUUGAGGCUCAACCUCAAAAUCGCAGUCGAAACUAUUAGACUGGAGUAUAGUAGGGGUAAAGGGAAUUUCCAGUGGAGCGGUGAAAUGCGUAGAUAUUGGAAAGAACACCGAUGGCGAAGGCACUUUACUGGGCUAUUACUAACACUCAGAGACGAAAGCUAGGGUAGCAAAUGGG